rnacentral:misc_RNA from 1 species
GAUGAAGAACGUAGCGAAAUGCGAUAAGUAAUGCGAAUUGCAGAAUUCCGUGAGUCAUCGAAUCUUUGAACGCACAUUGCGCCCGCUAGUAUUCUGGCGGGCAUGUCUGUUCGAGCGUCAUUUCAACCAUCAAGCCCUGUUUAGGCUUGUGUUGGGGCCCUGCGGUUGCCGCAGCCCCCUAAAUGCAGUGGCGGGCUCGUUGUCACUCCGAGCGCAGUAGCGUAUCUCGCUCUGGGCGUGGCGGCGGGUGCUAGCCGUGAAACACCCACUAAGGUUGACCUCGGAUCAGGUAGGAAUACCCGCUGAACUUAAGCAUAUCAAUAAGCGGAGGA